GACGUAGGGUCCGAGCGUUGUCCGGAUUUACUGGGCGUAAAGAGCGCGUAGGCGGUCCGUUAAGUGAGAAGUGAAAGCUCCGGGCUCAACCCGGAAAUUGCUUUUCAUACUGGCGGACUCGAGGGUGGCAGAGGUUUGUGGAAUUCCUGGUGUAGCGGUGAAAUGCGUAGAUAUCAGGAGGAACACCCAUGGCGAAGGCAGCAAACUGGGCCACAUCUGACGCUGAGGCGCGAAAGCGUGGGUAGCAAACAGG
rnacentral:rRNA from 1 species